AUCUUGCGCAAUGGCCGAAAGGCUGACGCAGCGACGCCGCGUGGGGGAGGAAGGCCUUCGGGUUGUAAACCCCUGUUGCUCGGGACGAACUGGCAGUUUCGACUGCCCUGACGGUACCGGGUGAGGAAGCACCGGCUAACUCCGUGCCAGCAGCCGCGGUAAUACGGAGGGUGCGAGCGUUGUCCGGAAUCACUGGGCGUAAAGGGCGCGUAGGCGGCUUCUUAAGCGGGUGGUGAAAGCUCGGGGCUCAACCUCGAGUCGGCCAUGCGAACUGGGAAGCUCGAGCACUGUAGAGGCAGGCGGAAUUCCGGGUGUAGCGGUGGAAUGCGUAGAGAUCCGGAAGAACACCGGUGGCGAAGGCGGCCUGCUGGGCAGUAGCUGACGCUGAGGCGCGACAGCGUGGGGAGCAAACAGG
rnacentral:rRNA from 1 species